rnacentral:piRNA from 1 species
AACGGUGUACUGUAUACUUUAACAC